GUAGUCGAUGGGAAACAGGUUAAUAUUCCUGUACUUGGUGUUACUGCGAAGGGGGGACGGAGAAGGCUAUGUUGGCCGGGCGACGGUUGUCCCGGUUUAAGCGUGUAGGCUGGUUUUCCAGGCAAAUCCGGAAAACCAAGGCUGAGGCGUGAUGACGAGGCACUACGGUGCUGAAGUGACAAAUGCCCUGCUUCCAGGAAAAGCCUCUAAGCAUCAGGUAACAUCAAAUCGUACCCCAAACCGACACAGGUGGUCAGGUAGAGAAUACCAAGGCGCUUGAGAGAACUCGGGUGAAGGAACUAGGCAAAAUGGUGCCGUAACUUCGGGAGAAGGCACGCUGAUAUGUAGGUGAAGCGACUUGCUCGUGGAGCUGAAAUCAGUCGAAGAUACCAGCUGGCUGCAACUGUUUAUUAAAAACACAGCACUGUGCAAACACGAAAGUGGACGUAUACGGUGUGACGCCUGCCCGGUGCCGGAAGGUUAAUUGAUGGGGUUAGCGGUAACGCGAAGCUCUUGAUCGAAGCCCCGGUAAACGGCGGCCGUAACUAUAACGGUCCUAAGGUAGCGAAAUUCCUUGUCGGGUAAGUUCCGACCUGCACGAAUGGCGUAAUGAUGGCCAGGCUGUCUCCACCCGAGACUCAGUGAAAUUGAACUCGCUGUGAAGAUGCAGUGUACCCGCGGCAAGACGGAAAGACCCCGUGAACCUUUACUAUAGCUUGACACUGAACAUUGAGCCUUGAUGUGUAGGAUAGGUGGGAGGCUUUGAAGUGUGGACGCCAGUCUGCAUGGAGCCGACCUUGAAAUACCACCCUUUAAUGUUUGAUGUUCUAACGUUGGCCCGUAAUCCGGGUUGCGGACAGUGUCUGGUGGGUAGUUUGACUGGGGCGGUCUCCUCCUAAAGAGUAACGGAGGAGCACGAAGGUUGGCUAAUCCUGGUCGGACAUCAGGAGGUUAGUGCAAUGGCAUAAGCCAGCUUGACUGCGAGCGUGACGGCGCGAGCAGGUGCGAAAGCAGGUCAUAGUGAUCCGGUGGUUCUGAAUGGAAGGGCCAUCGCUCAACGGAUAAAAGGUACUCCGGGGAUAACAGGCUGAUACCGCCCAAGAGUUCAUAUCGACGGCGGUGUUUGGCACCUCGAUGUCGGCUCAUCACAUCCUGGGGCUGAAGUAGGUCCCAAGGGUAUGGCUGUUCGCCAUUUAAAGUGGUACGCGAGCUGGGUUUAGAACGUCGUGAGACAGUUCGGUCCCUAUCUGCCGUGGGCGCUGGAGAACUGAGGGGGGCUGCUCCUAGUACGAGAGGACCGGAGUGGACGCAUCACUGGUGUUCGGGUUGUCAUGCCAAUGGCACUGCCCGGUAGCUAAAUGCGGAAGAGAUAAGUGCUGAAAGCAUCUAAGCACGAAACUUGCCCCGA
rnacentral:rRNA from 1 species